AUUGAACGCUGGCGGCAGGCCUAACACAUGCAAGUCGAGCGGAUGAAGGGAGCUUGCUCCUGGAUUCAGCGGCGGACGGGUGAGUAAUGCCUAGGAAUCUGCCUGGUAGUGGGGGAUAACGUCCGGAAACGGGCGCUAAUACCGCAUACGUCCUGAGGGAGAAAGUGGGGGAUCUUCGGACCUCACGCUAUCAGAUGAGCCUAGGUCGGAUUAGCUAGUUGGUGGGGUAAAGGCCUACCAAGGCGACGAUCCGUAACUGGUCUGAGAGGAUGAUCAGUCACCCUGGAACUGAGACACGGUCCAGACUCCUACGGGAGGCAGCAGUGGGGAAUAUUGGACAAUGGGCGAAAGCCUGACCCAGCCAUGCCGCGUGUGUGAAGAAGGUCUUCGGAUUGUAAAGCACUUUAAGUUGGGAGGAAGGGCAGUAAGUUAAUACCUUGCUGUUUUGACGUUACCAACUGAAUAAGCACCGGCUAACUUCGUG
rnacentral:rRNA from 1 species